AGAACGAACGCUGGCGGCAUGCCUAAUACAUGCAAGUCGAACGAACACUUCGGUGUUAGUGGCGCACGGGUGCGUAACGCGUGGGAAUCUGCCCUUGGGUUCGGAAUAACAGUUGGAAACGACUGCUAAUACCGGAUGAUAUCGAAAGAUCAAAGAUUUAUCGACCCAGGGAUGAGCCCGCGUAGGAUUAGCUAGUUGGUGAGGUAAGCUCACCAAGGCGACGUAUCCUUAGCUAGGUCUGAGAGGAUGAUCACGCCAGACGUGGGACUGACGACCACGGCCCAGACCUCCGUACGGGAGCGAGCAAGGUACGGAAUA
rnacentral:rRNA from 1 species